rnacentral:lncRNA from 1 species
GAAAAUUGUAAACAUGUCCAUACCAUGAGAAUAUGUGAUUUUGGCCCGAAGUUCAAAAUCUAAGGGGAUUGAAUGUCCAUACCAUGAGAAUAUGUGAUUUUGGCCUGAAGUUCAAAAUCUAACAGUGUUGAGAACCUGAAGUUCCAACAAUUAAAUGGACAACCCUUGAGGUAUUAUUGCAAAUUGUGGUACGCCACAUAUCUCUUUGGCAUAAGAGAAUGAUGAAUUGAGGCUCCCCACAUAUUUUGUUAUAUCUGGGCCGGAAACUCAUGAACCCAAAUAUAUGAGAUAUUAGCGUGGCUUUUACUCAAUUCAUAUUUCAUGCCCAUUUUGAAAAGGGCAAAUAAAUUCUGAGUUUUGUGUUUAGCCCAUGCCUAAAGUUCCGGG